GCAAAAACAUAUCUGUUCUAUAGGCUCGUACCUUUGUAUCCUUAAGUUCUAAGGAGACAAGAACUGAAAUCUAGUGGACGAACAAAGACUCUGUGAUCAGAGCGUGAUUUACGGCUAGAUGAUCUUCUCUUCCGUUUAGUGAAAUCCCUAGCUGCAGAGGAUCGUUUCUCAGUAGGCGCAGGAAAAAGUGGAACCCUAAAUCCCCAAAUUGAGC
rnacentral:snoRNA from 1 species